CCUACGGGGGGCUGCAGUCGAGGAUCUUCGGCAAUGGGGGCAACCCUGACCGAGCGACGCCGCGUGGGCGACGAAGGCCUUCGGGUUGUAAAGCCCUGUCGAGGGGGAGGAAGGGCAACUUGACCCAUCCCUGGAGGAAGCACGGGCUAAGUUCGUGCCAGCAGCCGCGGUAAGACGAACCGUGCGAACGUUGUUCGGAAUCACUGGGCUUAAAGGGCGCGUAGGCGGGCCGCCGCGUCCGGGGUGAAAUCCUCCCGCUCAACGGGGGAACGGCC
rnacentral:rRNA from 1 species